rnacentral:rRNA from 1 species
UAGCAUAAUCAUUAGUUUUUUAAUUGAAGACUGGAAUGAAAGGUUAAAUAAAAAAUAAUCUUUAUAAUUUUUAAAAUAUUGAAAUUGUUUUUUUAGUAAGAAAACUAAAAUAAAUAAAAAAGACGAUAAGACCCUAUAAAGCUUUAUAAAAAAAAUAAAAAUAAAUUAUUAGGAUAUUUUAUUUACUUUUAAUUUAUUUAUUUAAUUGGGGUGAUUUAAAGAUUUAUAAAACUCUUUAUUUUUUUAAUCAAUAAUUUUUGAUUUUAUUAAAUUUAUUUUUUUUAAAAAUUAUAUAUAAAUAUAUUAUUUUGAUCUUUAUUUUAAGAAUAAAAAAUUAAGUUACUUUAGGGAUAACAGCGUAAUUUUUUUAAAGAGUUCUAAUCGAUAAAAAAGAUUGCGACCUCGAUGUUGAAUUAAGAUAAAAAUUAGGUGUAGAAGUUUAAUUUUU